rnacentral:SRP_RNA from 1 species
ACCGGGCGUGGUGGCGGAUGCCUGUAGUCCCAGCUACUCAGGAGGCUGAGGCAGGAGAAUGGCAUGAACCUGGGAGGCGGAGCUUGCAGUGAGCCGAGAUCCUGCCACUGCACUCCAGCCUGGGCGACAGAGCGAGGCUCCAUCUCAAAAAAAAAAAAAAAGAGGUUCACCAUGGCAAUGCAAAAAAAAUUUUUUUUUUUUUUCUUGAGACGGAGUCUCACUCUGUGUCGCCCGGGCUGGAGUGCAGUGGCAGGAUCUCAGCUCACUGCGAGCUCCGCCUCCUGGGUUCAUGCCAUUCUCCUGCCUCAG